GUGCUUGCUUCGGCAGCACAUCUACUAAAAUUGGAAGGAUACAGAGAAUAUUAGCAUGGCCUCUAUACAAGGAUGACAUGCAAAUUUUUUUUUGUUGGUGUUCUUUUU